rnacentral:rRNA from 1 species
AGAGUUUGAUCAUGGCUCAGAACGGACGCUGGCGGCAGGCCUCAAACAUGCAAGUCUAGGGGACGUAGCAAUACGUCACCGGCGGACGGGUGCGUAACACGUGGGAAUAUACCUUUCGGUACGGAACAACGCAGGGAAACUUGCGCUAAUACCGUAUACGUCCUUACGGAGAAAGAUUUAUCGCCGAAGGAUUAGCCCGCGUUCGAUUAGCUAGUUGGUGAGGUAAUGGCUCACCAAGGCAACGAUCGAUAGCUGUUCUGAGAGGAAGAUCAGCCACACUGGGACUGAGACACGGCCCAGACUCCUACGGGAGGCAGCAGUUGGGAAUCUUGGACAAUGGGGGAAACCCUGAUCCAGCCAUGCCGCGUGAGUGAUGAAGGCCUUCGGGUUGUAAAGCUCUUUUACCCGGGAAGAUAAUGACUGUACCGGGAGAAUAAGCUCCGGCUAACUUCGUGCCAGCAGCCGCGGUAAUACGAAGGGGGCUAGCGUUGUUCGGAAUUACUGGGCGUAAAGCGCGCGCAGGCGGUUUCUCAAGUCAGUGGUGAAAGCCCGGAGCUCAACUCCGGAACUGCCAUUGAAACUGUGAAACUUGAGGACGAGAGAGGUGAGUGGAAUUCCCAGUGUAGAGGUGAAAUUCGUAGAUAUUGGGAAGAACACCGGUGGCGAAGGCGGCUCACUGGCUCGUUUCUGACGCUCAGGCGCGACAGCGUGGGGAUCAAACAGGAUUAGAUACCCUAGUAGUCC